rnacentral:rRNA from 1 species
GACAGAGGGUGCAAACGUUGUUCGGAAUUACUGGGCGUAAAGCGCGUGUAGGCGGCAGCGUGUGUCGGGCGUGAAAUCCCACGGCUCAACCGUGGAAGUGCACCCGAAACUGCGCAGCUAGAGUCCUGGAGAGGAAGGCGGAAUACUUGGUGUAGAGGUGAAAUUCGUAGAUAUCAAGUGGAACACCGGUGGCGAAGGCGGCCUUCUGGACAGUGACUGACGCUGAGACGCGAAAGCGUGGGGAGCAAACAGG